AUCGCACAUCUCAAAUUUGGGUAACAAUAAUUCCACCUCAUAUUAAAUGAUUGGAAUACAAAACAGUACAUUUAAUCUUUUAUGUAUUUAUUCAUUAAUUUAUUUUAAUGUUUUCUAAACGUUUAAGGUUCUGGCCCAAUUUUGCACCAAACAUCACGUUAAACAUAAAAACUUUGGGAAACCAGGAACUUGCUUUUUCGGUCUUGUGAUGAACUCACCCUGUGUGGUUUGGACUGCCUCCUGUGUCCCAUGUGUUUGGGUCUGUCACUUUUCUCUGAACUAGCACUGGUGGAUGAUUUACUCGACUGAGACUCUGACUCCAGCCCUGCGGCUCGCAAAGGUGGCGGUGACCCCUUCUCCUGUUUAAUGUGAAAGUGUCUGGAAGGGCCAUGACUACUUUGAUGUCGCCCUUUGUGUUUGGAGAGGUUGGUGUGGAUAGUUUCUGGGCUGGUGCUGGUGCCAUCAGUGAGCAUCUGAGAAUAUUGCCUGUGGUGCUGUUUACCAGAAGCAGCCCCUUGUCUUUCAGCUUUAGAAGGGUGGUGGGGUGGGUGUGGAGGGCUGGUCAGGUUUCGGCUGUGGUAUUUGCUCGGUCUCUUAUGUGAUCGAGAAAGUGAGCUUGAAUCAUUUUUUUCUGAAUCAGGUCUCUCAGUUCUGAUGGGCUGCUGUUUUGGUGAUGGCACAAAGCUCUCCUGCUUGCCGCUGCGGUUCUUGCGCUCUUCAUUGGGUGAUUUUGGUGGCGUUGAUGUGUUUACACCAAAAGAGCUAAGAGCACAGGGACUGAUAACCUGCUUGGUGAUCUCGUCCAGAAAUGCAGAGAACUGUAGCUUCCCUUUCACAAAGUUAUUCCCCGCAGCUUCCACAGAGAUCUGCUUGGAUGCCAGGGCUUGAUGUCGACUCUGUUCAAGGUGGAGAGGCAGAUCAGUCCAGUUCUACUGUACUCAGAUCGAAGGAAGAAAGAAUAUUACGAAGCCUCGUGAAGAAUGCCACUUCAUCCGGUCCCACUGAAUACUUCGGCAGGCAGGACAAUUUGUUGUGCUACAGAAGAUUUUCAACUGUACUUUACUUUUAAAAUGUUUAAUUACCCAGCCACUGCUCUGCGCAACUGUGCAGGGUGAAAGUUGCUUUACAAAUGUAUAGCAAUAGUCUGUUCAGCUGUUGCACAAAUGUGCUCCAAACUCCAAAUUUAGAGUGGCUGGGAAAAGCUGUGCAACUGUGCAGCUAUAUUUGGCACUGGCUAUAUAGCCAAAAGUUUUCUGGAAAAUAUUUGUUUGGGGUGGGGAGGGCUUUGCACUAUUCUCUCUCUUCUGCAGAAAUCUCAUCAGCCAGCUGUGUGGUGAAAGUUACAUGAUGUCGUCCUGUGGAGUCUGUAGUUAACAGGUGUCUGAAUCUUUAAACUUGAUUGUAGAAUCCUCAUUUAACAUUUUGUAAUC
rnacentral:lncRNA from 1 species